UACAGAGGUCCCAAGCGUUGUUCGGAUUCACUGGGCGUAAAGGGUGCGUAGGUGGCUUGGUAAGUUCGAUGUGAAAUCUCCGGGCUUAACCCGGAAAUGGCAUUGAAUACUAUUGAGCUGGAGGUUUGGAGGGGGGACUGGAAUUCUCGGUGUAGCAGUGAAAUGCGUAGAUAUGCGGAGGAACACCGAUGGCGAAGGCAGCCCCCUGGGCUAACACUGACGCUCAGGCACGAAAGCGUGGGGAGCAAACAGG
rnacentral:rRNA from 1 species